GCGGCUGGUGAAUUCGAACUGCCCAUCUUUUUGGUUAGCAGCUGUAGUUCUUAAUCUGCUACGUCACCAGGGUUUCCACUGUGCCCCCAGGGCUCAAUAAUUGGGGAUUCGGGGAAUUGUACCGGUCCUUGAGGUAUUGGAGAUGUCCUGAGACAUGAGCAGACUUCUUGGGGAAGUGGGCUGCCCCCCUUGGUUGGAUUCUCAGAACAGUAGUUCUUAACUUGGAGGGCAGGUAAGUGGUCCCCCUUUCAGUAUCUGACAAAAACUCUAAAGCCCAGAUGGUGCCACACCGUGCUCCUUCUUCUACAGUAGGUAGGACAUUUAUAUUAGAAUUUUCCUGCUGUCAGUUAAAAAUCUGCACAUUUAUGCUCUUUAACACUUUUGAAACGUGGUUUUAUGUUUCCUCCAGGUCAGUCAUAUCAUUUGGAUCAAAAAACAGAACAAUUGGAGUUGCCGCUAAAAAUCAGCAAAUCACGCACGCAAACAAUACGGUGUCCAACUUCAAGAGGUUUCACGGUCGAGCCUUCAGUGACCCCUUCAUUCAGAGGGAGAAGGAGAACUUAAGUUAUGACUUGGUUUCAAUGAAAAAUGGUGGCGUUGGAAUAAAGGUGAUGUACAUGGACGAAGAACAUCUGUUCAGCGUGGAGCAGAUAACAGCCAUGUUGUUGACCAAGUUAAAGGAAACCGCUGAAAACAAUCUCAAGAAACCAGUAACAGAUUGUGUUAUUUCAGUCCCCUCCUUCUUCACAGAUGCCGAGAGGCGGUCUCUUCUCGAUGCGGCUCAGAUUGUCGGCCUGAACUGCUUAAGACUCAUGAAUGACAUGACGGCCGUUGCUUUGAAUUACGGGAUUUACAAACAGGACCUUCCAGGCCUGGAUGAGAAACCUCGGAUAGUGAUUUUUGUUGAUAUGGGCCACUCAGCAUUUCAAGUGUCUGCCUGUGCUUUUAACAAGGGAAAACUGAAGGUCCUGGGAACAGCUUUUGACCCUUUCUUAGGAGGGAAGAACUUUGAUGAAAAGUUAGUGGAACAUUUUUGUGCAGAAUUUAAAACCAAGUACAAGUUGGAUACGAAGUCCAAAAUCCGAGCGCUCCUUCGCCUGUAUCAGGAAUGUGAGAAGCUGAAGAAGCUCAUGAGUUCCAACAGCACAGACCUGCCACUGAACAUUGAGUGUUUCAUGGAUGACAAAGACGUGUCGGGAAAGAUGAACAGGUCACAAUUUGAGGAGCUCUGUGCUGACCUUCUGCAAAAGAUAGACGCGCCACUCCGUGCACUGCUGGAACAGACGCAGCUGAGAGUAGAGGACGUGAGUGCUGUGGAGAUAGUUGGAGGCGCUACGCGGAUCCCGGCCGUGAAGGAGAAAAUCGCCAAGUUCUUCGGGAAGGACGUCAGCACAACGCUUAACGCAGAUGAAGCAGUAGCCCGAGGGUGUGCACUCCAGUGUGCUAGCCUUUCCCCGGCUUUCAAAGUUAGAGAAUUCUCCGUCACUGAUGCAGUUCCUUUUCCAAUAUCUCUAGUCUGGAGCCACGACUCAGAAGACACUGAAGGCGUCCACGAAGUAUUUUACCGAAACCAUGCUGCUCCUUUCUCCAAAGUUCUCACCUUCUUCAGAAGAGGGCCUUUUGAGCUAGAAGCUUUCUAUUCUGAUCCGCAAGGAGUUCCAUAUCCAGAAGCAAAAAUAGGCCGCUUCGUAGUUCAGAAUGUUUCUGCCCAGAAGGAUGGAGAAAAGUCCAAGGUGAAAGUGAAGGUGCGGGUCAACACCCACGGCAUUUUCACCAUCUCCACGGCGUCAAUGGUGGAGAAAGUCCCCACAGAGGAGAGCGAAGCAUCCUCUGUCGAAGCCGACCUGGAGUGUCCGAGUCCGAGGCCACCUGGAAACCCCGACAGUGAGACAAAUAGCCAGCCAGACAGCAGUGACGCUGGAGCACAGCCCCAGCUACAAACCGAUGGGCAACAAACCUCCCAGUCUCCCCCUCCACCUGAACUUCCCUCAGAAGAAAACAAAAGCCCAGAUGCUGACAAAGCAAAUGAAAAGAAAGUUGACCAGCCUCCAGAAGCUAAAAAACCUAAAAUAAAGUUGGUGAAUGUUGAGCUACCUAUUGAAGCCAACUUGGUCUGGCAGUUGGGGAAAGACCUUCUCAACAUGUACAUUGAGACAGAGGGCAAGAUGAUAAUGCAGGAUAAACUGGAAAAAGAAAGAAACGACGCCAAAAACGCAGUGGAGGAAUAUGUGUACGAGUUCAGGGGCAAACUGUAUGGACCAUAUGAAAAGUUCAUUUGUGAGCAGGACCAUCAGAGUUUUCUGAGACUCCUCACAGAGACUGAAGACUGGCUGUACGAAGAAGGAGAGGACCAAUCUAAACAAGCCUAUGUGGACAAGUUGGAAGAGUUAAUGAAAAUCGGCACUCCAGUUAAACUCCGGUUUCAAGAAGCUGAAGAACGGCCAAAAUUGUUGGAGGAACUAGGACAGAGGCUGCAGCACUACGCCAGGAUAGCUGCUGACUUCAGAAAUCAGGAUGAGAAAUACAACCAUAUUGACGAGUCUGAAAUGAAGAAGGUUGAGAAGUCUGUUAAUGAAGUGAUGGAGUGGAUGAACAAUGUCAUGAAUGCUCAGGCUAAAAAGAGUCUUGAUCAGGAUCCAGUUGUGCGCGCUCUGGAAAUUAAAGCAAAAAUAAAGGAACUGAACAACACCUGUGAACCCGUCGUUACCCAACCCAAACCAAAAAUCGAAUCACCCAAACUGGAAAGAACUCCCAAUGGCCCCAACGCGGAUAAAAAGGAAGAAGAUCUAGAAGGCAAAAGUAACUUCGGUGCUGAACCUCCCCGUCAGAACGGCGACUGUUACCCGAACGAGAAGAGCUCCAUCAACAUGGACUUGGACUAGAUGACGUUAAAUUAAGUAUUUUUGCCAUAGUUAUGUGAUUCUACAUAGCAUACUGAGACUAUUUAUAUUUUCUUUUUUAAGAAUGUUUAGAAAUUUUGUGUAUUAUAUGGAAAAAGCAAAAGCUUACGUCUGUAGUCUUUAUGAUCCUAAAAGGGAAAAUUGCCUUGGUAACUUUCAGAUUCCUGUGGAAUUGUGAAUUCAUACUAAGCUUCUGUGCAGUAUUACCGUUGGCAUCACUGAGGAUGAAAUUGCCCUUUGUCCUUUGACGGAAACAAAGCAAACUGUGCUGCUUGUUCAGGAGGGUCGGGGCCCAGUCGCCACGCGGUGGUUCCUGCCAAGAACAACCUCUGAAGUUAAAGGGAGUUUAUCCAAGAUGACACAGGAAGUAUCAGCAUUACGAAGACAAGUUUCUGCAGUCAGGGUGCUGGACCACACUAUUAACAGCCGUUCUGGAGACGUGACUUCCUUCAUUUACUACCUGAUGACUGCCUGCUUCAGCAUUUAAACGUCUGUUUCCUGUUAGUAGUUCAUGAAUUGCAUACCUAGCCUCAUUUUUGAGAAAAAUAUGUAGUGAUGACCUAGAAUCCCCAGGGCAUGGGCCAUUUUGGAUAAAAUCUCUGAUUAACAAAGGAUUGAAUUGUAUGUUUUAAUUUUUACCUUAACUUUUGGGACAAUAUUUCUAAGAAUAAUCUUUCUAGCAAUAGUUAAUGAACAGAAUGGAACCAUAAAGCCAGUUGAUCAUGAACUUUGGUUCUCAAUGCCUGGGUUCCGCCUUGCUUUCUUGGGGUAAAUCCCCAGUGCCUCAUUGAUUCUGAUCGUUCUUGCUUCCUCAUCAUGAAGUGUAUGUUAUGGCCUGUAUAACUGAUUUGGACAGUGAAACAGGCCUCUACAAGAUAGCCUGUAGGAAGUACUUUCUGAAAGGCUAAUGAAUAAACUUCAGCUACUGCGAUCAAUGACACCCUUGUCAGCCACACUGAAAAUAUUUUUUCUGCAUCGUUUGCACUUGUCAAUUUAUAUCUGCACAUCAGGA